rnacentral:misc_RNA from 1 species
GAUGAAGAACGUAUUGAAAUGCGAUAAGUAGUGUGAAUUGCAGAAUUCAGUGAAUCAUCGAAUCUUUGAACGCACAUUGCGCCUUCUAGUAUUCUGGGAGGCAUGCCUGUUUGAGCGUCAUUAAACCUCUCUCAAGUAUGAUUACUUGGAUGUGAAGGAAGAGUACCUUAAACUUAAGGAGUGUUCUCCUUUGAAAUUGAUUAGCAGAUGGUAAUGUUAUUAAAUCCCUGAUGUUGUAAGAAAUAACAGUGGUUUUGUAGACUAUUAUCUAGCUUUAAAUUAUAAUUUUUAUUAUGGUUGACCUCAAAUCAGGUAAGGAUACCCGCUGAACUUAAGCAUAUCAAUAAGCGGAGGA